AGCUGGGAAAACGGCAAUGGAUUAAUAACAAGAAAUCAAUGGUGAAGUGGUGACUAAAAUUCUACAUUGCUCAGAAAGCAAAUAGUGAAAUGAACAUUUACAUUCUGGCAACCUCAGAAGUACAAUGAACAAAGGACACCAGCCAGGUAGGGCGUUCCCUUUUGCUGUUACAUGUUUAUCAGAUGCAUGCUCUGUUUCUGUUAUAUUACAUUAUUUUUCUCUUCAAUGUUUACUGAGGAAGAACAAGUAACUCCUCAUGCAAGUCAACUGUUAACUUUGCAGUUUUUAUUUAAUCUCCCAGGAAUGUAACUCUUAACUUUAAAGAAUG
rnacentral:antisense_RNA from 1 species